rnacentral:lncRNA from 1 species
GAAACCCAAGGCGCUAAGUGGGGACUGUUACCAAUGUACACCAGAGAAUGUUUAUUCAGAACGGCAGGGCCAGGUUGUUCUCCAUGCUGGAUAUAAACAAAAAAUCAUUAUCUCCCAAUUAACAUGAAAUUAAAAAAAAAUAACAGGGCUUCUCAACAUUGAGUCCUAGGACCUCUGGCAUCAUCUUCACCUGGGGAGUAGUUCAAGACAGAAAUCCAGAGCUACGAGUCACACAUCCAUCCAGAUGAUUGCAGUGUGCGCUACAAGUAGAAAAGGUUUUAUAGCAGCUCUGCCUUCUGCAUCCUCUUUCGUGACAGCAUCAUCAUGCAGUCAUUCAAUAAAACUAAUUGAAGACUCAACUCCGGCUUCAGAACCAUAACAACGGCCUGCUCUCUCUUCACUGCUGAUGAUCUAAUCAUUAAAAUGAAACCUAC